ACGGGGGGGGCAAGCGUUGUUCGGAAUUACUGGGCGUAAAGGGCUCGUAGGUGGCCAACUAAGUCAUACGUGAAAUCCCUCAGCUUAACUGGGGAACUGCGCCUGAUACUGGUUGGCUUGAGUUUGGGAGAGGGACGCGGAAUUCCAGGCGUAGCGGUGAAAUGCGUAGAUAUCGAGAGGAACACCAGUGGCGAAGGCGGCUUUCUGGUCUGUAACUGACGCUGAGGCGCGAAAGCGUGGGGAGCAAACAGGA
rnacentral:rRNA from 1 species